rnacentral:rRNA from 1 species
CACGUAGGGCGCAAGCGUUGUCCGGAAUUAUUGGGCGUAAAGAGCUCGUAGGCGGUCUGUUGCGUCUGCUGUGAAAACCCGGGGCUUAACCCCUGGCUUGCAGUGGAUACGGACAGACUAGAGGUAGGUAGGGGAGAAUGGAAUUCCCGGUGUAGCGGUGAAAUGCGCAGAUAUCGGGAGGAACACCGGUGGCGAAGGCAGCCCCCUGGGCUGAGAUUGACGCUGAGGCACGAAAGCGUGGGGAGCAAACAGG